AAAAAAAAGAAAGGAAAAAAAAAAAGCAACCAACCAAACUAGGUUAGUUCACUCUUUCGAUAAAACACAGCUGUCAGUUCUGGCUCUCACAGGAGGAUUUACCCGUGCCUGGAUUGAAAUGGGUCCGGCUCUGUGUCCUCCACAACGCAGAUCUGGAAGCGGGCAUCUGGAUUCAACUCUGACUUUGGUUGGAAAACUUUGGCAGUCCUACUCACCUUGUUUGGAGGAACAGAAUCUUGUUGGGUUGCCCUUAAGAUACUUUGUCGCGAGUUCUUAUGUUUGCUAUGCUGCCGAAUGAAUUUCUAUCUCCCAAAGUUGAGAUGCAACCAUAAGGUAAAGCAACUUCGUAUGCUUUGUCUGUGGAUUGUCCCACAGACGGAUACAGUUUGUAAAUAACUCUUCCAAAACCAUGUAUUUAAAGCAGUUUGCAUAUACAUUAUGUAUAAAAGCGAUUUUUUAUCGAUUUUUUUAUUCAUGUUUGUACAUUGGAAGGGGUUCUUGGCCCCUUUUUCUGUGUUUAAUAUGCUGUAGACUAAUAACAUAGAUGCUCUAGACUGUAUAUCGGGAUAUUCUGGUUCACACAGCAGAAAGUCAGAACGAAACACUAGUGAUGGAGUAGCAUUACUAAAAUCAAUGUUUCUUGAAAUCUCAUUUUACAACAUUUGUCAACUUGUGAUUCCAAUUCCUUCCAUUUUUGCAGAAAAUUAAAGAAAAAGUACUCUUGUAAAUGCACUUUUUCUGUCUUUUCUUAAGCAAAGCAGAACUAUUUCAAUGUAAGAUAAUUAUGGAGCUCAGUAGACAGCAUUAAUAAAGGCCCUGUUUUAAACAUAGGCUUUACAUUCUAUUCUUAUUGAAAUGAUUGUUCUUGUAAAUGCCUGGGCUUACCUAAACAGGACGAUCAGUCUCCCUGAAUGGUUGUGAAGACCUUUAUCCAGAGCUAACUUUCACUGUUACUCUUACAGUAGCUGUGAACAAAAAGCAGUACUGAUUUCAUAGGAAAUCACGUGGGUCACAGUUCCUCAGCUUACCUUCCACGAUUGCUAGUAGCAGAAACAAUUUUUCUAUUCAAAUAAGAUCAGUUCUUACUUUAGACAGGUCUCUAACCUCUGCCUACAAAUUGCUUGAUGUCUCCAGCAGACGUGCACACACUCAGCAUGUGUAAGGUGUUGGAUGGGCUCUCAACUGUCUGUAUUUCAGCACAGAGGUUCACUUACAGCUUCUCCUUAUCUCUUAGGAAUGUUUACCUGCUUACAUCAGCCCAGAGCUCCUCAGAGCCCUGAACAGCAAUUCAUGUGACUGUCCCAGCAGAGAGCUGCACAGCCAGGAGAGGUGGAUGACUUUCUGCCAAGCCUGGAGCACGUCACUGCCUUCCUGCUUCUGUCUCUGGCAAGAAGUACAGCAGAAAUGUUUGCAGGAGCAAUGAAAACCAAAGCACCCUCUUGGCAGACCUCCCUGUUCUCCUGCCUCCUGAUCUCCUCCAGGUUGUGUCAAGAUGAGAAGCACGACUUCCAGCUUAGUUGGCAGGUGAAAUAAAUUGCAGAGGAUGAUGGAAUCAAAUGCUCUUAGAACUGUUAGAAAGAGCUGGGCUCCAGGAAUAUUCAGACCCUCCCCUGCCACCUACUGUUGAUAAGAAGAGCUGGCAGAUUACUUCAGGUUGUGUAUUAGCAGGCAAUCUGAAAACUAGAAAGCAACGUAAAGCUUGCAUGCAAGGACAGACGGUGUAAAUUAAGCAACACGUGGUUUAAUCUGUUCAUUUCUGAUUCCUUCUCGCAUAUGAGAAACCUCCUUGUUGGAACAAUAAUGAAGCAUUAUUUCAACAGAAUUGAAACAGGAUUACAGUAAUAAUUAAAAGCACAACGAGAGCAGCAGAAAGUCUGAGAAAAGCGGUUCUGCUCUUCUUUAAGAGCACGUUUGGUUUGAUCACUUUGAAACAAAGCUGACAGGUGAGCUGGAAGAGUGAUUUACAAGCUGCAACAAAAAGAGGACUGUUAACAGAGGUGGCUGUGCUUCAUCUCUGCUCCUCCUGCUGUCUGCUCCGCCCUGAAGUGAGGCCUCAGGUAAAUGGCACCACCCCACGUCUCCUGAAGGCAAGAAAAAGCUAACACAGCUAUUGGGUAAUGAAAUAGCAGUAAGUUGUCAUUCUGCUGUACUAGCAAUCUGACUGUGGGAUCUCAGCUAUCAAGAUCCUUUCAAAAGAAGCAGCGUUUAUUCCUGAGCCAACAGCACGUAAUCAGAACGGUUUUCUCAGACUUUGCUCUGCACUCAAUCAGCAGCAACUAAAAAGGCAUCGCCUUGUACGUAUCUAUUCACACUUAAUUGUGUGAAUGCCAACAGAAAGGAGGAACCCGCCAGCAAGCUCAGUGCUUGGAGCACAUCGUGCUUACAGCCAGCAGCAAAGCCAGUUUUGGAGGACCACUGGGCCCCCCAGAGGGAGACAAGGAG